AAGACAACUUCAGAGAAUCAGAGCUGCUGCUUCACUUCUGCCUGCAAGCUUCUGCAUAGAUUCCUCUUUCGGCCUGUACUAACCUAGAAAGGGUAUUCCAGGUAACAUACUUCCAGUUUACUUGGUUGACACAGGAUAAACUACCACUAAGCUUUUUGUUUGUUUGUUUGUUUUUCCUUGCUGAGUGAGUUAUCACUAGCCAGUCCAUCCUGGGAACUUCGGAACAAAUGGUUUUUUUUUUUCUUUUAAUUUCCUCACCAUCUGAAUGAAAGAGGCUCCUACUCCUGCUGUCAGAACCUUAAGUUCCCCGAGGUUUCAGAGGUUGAAGAGCCAGACAUUUAAGGAUAAACUGCCUUUAUCCUAACUGCAGAGUAUGAUUACAUGGGCGUGAGGUUCGGGAACUCAGAAAUUGCAGCUUUCUGUGCAGAGGCACCAGGAGACUCAGCCAUAGGUGGCACCCAGUCUAACGACCAUUCUGUUCCCGAUGUUCAGGCCCAAGGACGUGGGCUGAGAUAUUUUCUCCAACUAUUCCCACAGGUGCUGAACCAGAGCCAUUUUCCAAAACCCUCCUGGCCUCCCGGACCUGUGACGCUUCCUGCAGUUGAUGUGCAAAGUCUCGCUACAAAACCAGCCCCAGGAACACAGAGCCCCAUGUUUCCUCCCUGAAGGACCCAGGGCCUCUAUUCUUCAGUGUCCUCUAUACACAACUCCUUUUGGGGUAUGACAGCUUCACUGCCGGAGGCAACACCAUCUGUAUUCGUGGGAAAGGAGGUGGCUGGGUAGAAGCAGAGGUGUGACUUACAGAUGGGGCAUGCACGGAGGAAGAGUAACAACUGGACAAACACAAGGAAAGAGCAAUGGGGCAAGGACUGCAGGAUGUUGGUAUGGACAAGGUUGAAGCAAUGGACUGCAGAGUGUAAACUCCUAAAAACCACCCAUCUUUUUAUUGUCUCUGUGGGUUUGCCUUUUCCAAAAUGUCCCUUUGUUACCAUUACAUAUCAUGCAGCCUUUUCACCCUGGCUUCUUUCACUUAUCAAUACGCACUUGGUUCCUGCAUAUCUUUCCAUGGCUUCAUACCUCAUUUCUUUUUACUAGUGGCUAAUAUUCCAUUGUAUGGCUAUAUCACAGUUUCUUUAUCUAUUCACCUAUAAAUAAUAUCUUGGUUGCUUCUGGGUUUUGGUGAUUAUGAAUAAAG
rnacentral:lncRNA from 1 species